GUCCUCUCUUGCUAGAGCAGAUUUGCCCAGAAGGUUGUUAAUUGCUGUGCAAGAUUUCUCCAGAGAUUUAGAAGGUGUUGGUAAUUGGUAGAAAGAUAUUAAUUUAUUUUCCUGGGUGAGAUGUCUUCUGAGAUGAACAACAAGUGGACAAGUUUGUCGUGAAAGUUAAAACACUUUAAAGGACAUAUAAUCUGCUGUGCUUUUCAAAAUCCCCAAAUAGUUCUUCAAAUUCAAAGGUCACCAGCCAGACAUGUAAAAUGACUUCAUGAACGACUUCAGCUCGUUAAUCAUGCCUCACUGUUGCAGUGCCUCUCCUCAGUUCAUUAGAAUAACAUUUCUUUGCACUUUAUGGCAAACCAUCAUUAUAAUACAGAACAAGGACAACAGAGUGUGAAAGACUUUUUUUAAUGAGACUUCAUAGCUGCUCAUGGUGGGACUCCUCAUCCUGUUUGCUCUUGAAAGAGCUGUCUGACAAAGGUUCAGGAUUUUACCUGAUGAAGAGAGCCAGAAAGAGUUUCACAGGGAAAACUGUCAAUGAGCUUACAGAAAACUGCAUAAACUUGGCUGCCCUGUCAGCUGAGCUGUCAGCCUUCAAACAAAUGCAGAGAGAAAAUCUUUAAUUGUACUCACCACACACAAGACAUUUUAUGCUGUAUCAUUGUCAUUUGCAGCUGUUCUUAACUCAUGGAGAGAAAGCAGCUGCUCAGGAUCCCCAGGAUCUUGAGUGGACUCUGAACUUAAUAAGGAGAAACUCUGUGCUUUAAUAAUUACCAA